rnacentral:misc_RNA from 1 species
GAUGAAGAACGUAGCGAAAUGCGAUACUUGGUGUGAAUUGCAGAAUCCCGUGAACCAUCGAGUCUUUGAACGCAAGUUGCGCCCGAAGCCAUUAGGCCGAGGGCACGCCUGCCUGGGCGUCACACGUCGUUGCCCCCCCAUCUACUCCUUCGGGAUUGCGGGGGGCGGAUGAUGGCCUCCCGUGCGCCUCGUCGCGCGGUUGGCAUAAAUGCCAAGUCCUCGGCGACGCACGCCACGACAAUCGGUGGUUGCGAAACCUCGGUUGCCCGUCGUGUGCGGUCGUCGCGCAUCGAGGGCUCGAAAAAAUUGCCGGGAUCUGUGUCGGCUUUCAACGCGACCCCAGGUCAGGCGGGGUUACCCACUGAAUUUAAGCAUAUCAAUAAGCGGAGGA